UACGGAGGGUGCAAGCGUUAUCCGGAUUCACUGGGUUUAAAGGGUGCGUAGGAGGGCAGGUAAGUCAGUGGUGAAAUCUUUGGGCGUUAACCCGAAAACUGCCAUUGAUACUAUCUGUCUUGAAUAUUGUGGAGGUGAGCGGAAUAUGUCAUGUAGCGGUGAAAUGCUUAGAUAUGACAUAGAACACCCAUUGCGAAGGCAGCUCACUACGCAUAUAUUGACGCUGAUGCACGAAAGCGUGGGGAUCAAACAGGA
rnacentral:rRNA from 1 species